rnacentral:rRNA from 4 species
AAAUUGAAGAGUUUGAUCAUGGCUCAGAUUGAACGCUGGCGGCAGGCCUAACACAUGCAAGUCGAACGGUAACAGGAAGCAGCUUGCUGCUUCGCUGACGAGUGGCGGACGGGUGAGUAAUGUCUGGGAAACUGCCUGAUGGAGGGGGAUAACUACUGGAAACGGUGGCUAAUACCGCAUAACGUCGCAAGACCAAAGAGGGGGACCUUCGGGCCUCUUGCCAUCAGAUGUGCCCAGAUGGGAUUAGCUAGUUGGUGAGGUAACGGCUCACCAAGGCGACGAUCCCUAGCUGGUCUGAGAGGAUGACCAGCCACACUGGAACUGAGACACGGUCCAGACUCCUACGGGAGGCAGCAGUGGGGAAUAUUGCACAAUGGGCGCAAGCCUGAUGCAGCCAUGCCGCGUGUAUGAAGAAGGCCUUCGGGUUGUAAAGUACUUUCAGCGGGGAGGAAGGUGUUGUGGUUAAUAACCGCAGCAAUUGACGUUACCCGCAGAAGAAGCACCGGCUAACUCCGUGCCAGCAGCCGCGGUAAUACGGAGGGUGCAAGCGUUAAUCGGAAUUACUGGGCGUAAAGCGCACGCAGGCGGUCUGUCAAGUCGGAUGUGAAAUCCCCGGGCUCAACCUGGGAACUGCAUUCGAAACUGGCAGGCUUGAGUCUUGUAGAGGGGGGUAGAAUUCCAGGUGUAGCGGUGAAAUGCGUAGAGAUCUGGAGGAAUACCGGUGGCGAAGGCGGCCCCCUGGACAAAGACUGACGCUCAGGUGCGAAAGCGUGGGGAGCAAACAGGAUUAGAUACCCUGGUAGUCCACGCCGUAAACGAUGUCUACUUGGAGGUUGUGCCCUUGAGGCGUGGCUUCCGGAGCUAACGCGUUAAGUAGACCGCCUGGGGAGUACGGCCGCAAGGUUAAAACUCAAAUGAAUUGACGGGGGCCCGCACAAGCGGUGGAGCAUGUGGUUUAAUUCGAUGCAACGCGAAGAACCUUACCUGGUCUUGACAUCCACGGAAGUUUUCAGAGAUGAGAAUGUGCCUUCGGGAACCGUGAGACAGGUGCUGCAUGGCUGUCGUCAGCUCGUGUUGUGAAAUGUUGGGUUAAGUCCCGCAACGAGCGCAACCCUUAUCCUUUGUUGCCAGCGAUUAGGUCGGGAACUCAAAGGAGACUGCCAGUGAUAAACUGGAGGAAGGUGGGGAUGACGUCAAGUCAUCAUGGCCCUUACGACCAGGGCUACACACGUGCUACAAUGGCGCAUACAAAGAGAAGCGACCUCGCGAGAGCAAGCGGACCUCAUAAAGUGCGUCGUAGUCCGGAUUGGAGUCUGCAACUCGACUCCAUGAAGUCGGAAUCGCUAGUAAUCGUGGAUCAGAAUGCCACGGUGAAUACGUUCCCGGGCCUUGUACACACCGCCCGUCACACCAUGGGAGUGGGUUGCAAAAGAAGUAGGUAGCUUAACCUUCGGGAGGGCGCUUACCACUUUGUGAUUCAUGACUGGGGUGAAGUCGUAACAAGGUAACCGUAGGGGAACCUGCGGUUGGAUCACCUCCUUACCUUAAAGAAGC